CACUCUUGGAUGGACCUGCGGUGCAUUAGCUAGUUGGUAAGGUAACGGCUUACCAAGGCAAUGAUGCAUAGCCGAGUUGAGAGACUGAUCGGCCACAUUGGGACUGAGACACGGCCCAAACUCCUACGGGAGGCAGCAGUAGGGAAUCUUCCACAAUGGACGCAAGUCUGAUGGAGCAACGCCGCGUGAGUGAAGAAGGGUUUCGGCUCGUAAAGCUCUGUUGGUAGUGAAGAAAGAUAGAGAUAGUAACUGGCCUUUAUUUGACGGUAAUUACCUAGAAAGUCACGGCUAACUACGUGCCAGCAGCCGCGGUAAUACGUAGGUGGCAAGCGUUGUCCGGAUUUAUUGGGCGUAAAGCGAGUGCAGGCGGUUCAAUAAGUCUGAUGUGAAAGCCUUCGGCUCAACCGGAGAAUUGCAUCAGAAACUGUUGAACUUGAGUGCAGAAGAGGAGAGUGGAACUCCAUGUGUAGCGGUGGAAUGCGUAGAUAUAUGGAAGAACACCAGUGGCGAAGGCGGCUCUCUGGUCUGCAACUGACGCUGAGGCUCGAAAGCAUGGGUAGCGAACAGGAUUAGAUACCCUGGUAGUCCAUGCCGUAAACGAUGAGUGCUAAGUGUUGGGAGGUUUCCGCCUCUCA
rnacentral:rRNA from 1 species